rnacentral:rRNA from 1 species
CGCGUAGGCGGCUUGUUAAGUCGGUUGUGAAAGCCCCGGGCUCAACCCGGGGAGGCCAGCCGAUACUGGCGGGCUUGAGUGCAGGAGAGGGAAGUGGAACUGCCGGUGUAGCGGUGGAAUGCGUAGAUAUCGGCAGGAACACCCGCGGCGAAGGCGGCUUCCUGGACUGUUACUGACGCUGAGGCGCGAAAGCCAGGGGAGCGAACG